rnacentral:rRNA from 1 species
UACGGGGGGGGCAAGCGUUGUUCGGAAUUACUGGGCGUAAAGGGCUCGUAGGUGGCCAACUAAGUCGGACGUGAAAUCCCUCGGCUCAACCGGGGAACUGCGUCUGAUACUGGAUGGCUUGAGUUCGGGAGAGGUGAGUGGAAUUCCUAGUGUAGAGGUGAAAUUCGUAGAUAUUAGGAAGAACACCAGUGGCGAAGGCGGCUCACUGGCCCGGUACUGACGCUGAGGCGCGAAAGCGUGGGGAGCAAACAGG